rnacentral:rRNA from 1 species
CCCGCUGAACUUAAGCAUAUCAAUAAGCGGAGGAAAAGAAACUAACAAGGAUUCCCCUAGUAACUGCGAGUGAAGAGGGAAAAGCUCAAAUUUAAAAUCUGGCAGUCUUUGAUUGUCCGAGUUGUAAUUUAGAGAAGUGUUACCCGUGUUGGACCGUGUACAAGUUUCCUGGAAUGGAACGUCAUAGAGGGUGAGAAUCCCGUCUUUGACACGGAUCCCAAUGCAUUGUGGUAUACUUUCGAAGAGUCGAGUUGUUUGGGAAUGCAGCUCUAAAUAGGUGGUAAAUUCCAUCUAAAGCUAAAUAUUGGGGAGAGACCGAUAGCGAACAAGUACCGUGAGGGAAAGAUGAAAAGAACUUUGGAAAGAGAGUUAAACAGUACGUGAAAUUGUUGAAAGGGAAGCGCUCAUGACCAGACUUGGGCCCGGUGAAUCAUCCAGCGCUCGUCGCUGGUGCACUUUGCCGGGCUCAGGCCAGCAUCAGUUCGCUCCGGGGGACAAAGGCUCUGGGAAUGUGGCUCCUCCGGGAGUGUUAUAGCCCACUGCGCAAUACCCUGGGGCGGACUGAGGUUCGCGCAUUCGUGCAAGGAUGCUGGCGUAAUGGUCAUCAGUGACCCGUCUUGAAACACGG